ACCUUUUUCCCCCCUCUCCCCUUGAGCUCCCUGGGAUUUGCUGUUGCCAUGGAAACCAGAGGGCCGGCCCCCAGGCUUUUAAGAGGCCUUCCUCCUCCCUUUUCCUUUGCAGAGGCCUCCUUCUCCACGGCAUUGGGACCACCAUUCAUUCUUUAAACAGUUAUGUGUUACAUUUAGACAGAUUAAAACAAAGCCUACAUACAAACAUACCAAAAACAAACCCCCCACAUCAACAGCAACAAAAGAUGAUGGGCCCUUCCAGAUAGGCCCUAUAUCCCAGGAUCUGAUGCCUGGUUUUCUGCCUUAAACUGUAUUACAGUAGAGUCUCACUUAUCCAACCCUCAUUUAUCCAACAUUCUGGAUUAUCCAACACAUUUUAGUAGUCAAUGUUGAAAACAUUGUUGUCAAUGUUGCAUUGUGAUAUUUUGGUGCUAAAUUUGUAAAUACAGUAAUUACUACAUAGCAUUAAUAAUAAUAAUAAAUAAUUAUAAAAUUUUAUUUAUACCCCGCCACCAUCUCCCUAUGGGGACUCGGGGCGGCUUACAUGGGGCCAUGCCCAGAAUAGUACAAUAUAACAACAUAUAGAAGUACAACACAUCACAACACAGUGAACAAUACAAUAGAUAAUAAUAUACAUUACAAUGCAAAAUCAAGGAAACAAUAAAAACAAGGGCGGGCCACAUUAAUAUUAAGUUAAAACUCGGGGUGAGAAAGACAUAAGAAUAAAACCACAAAGAACAGGGUCAUAAGAUAGUGGUGCAGUCUAGAGGAUAGAUAUUAGAAGGGAGCAACGAAAAAGAAAUAUAAAGUAGUUACUCUCCAAAAGCACAACGGAAGAGCCAUGUUUUCAAGUCUUUCUUGAAGGCUACUAAUGUGGGGGCUUGCCUAAUCUCAAUGGGCAGUGAGUUCCACAAUCGGGGGGCCACAGCAGAGAAGGCCCUCUCCCUUGUUCCCACAAGGCAGGCCUGAGAUAUCGGCAGUGGCGACAGGAGAGCCUCCCCUGAUGAUCGAAGGGAUCGGGCAGGUUUAUGAUAGGAGAUACGGUCACGAAGGUAGGUGGGUCCCAAACCCACCUACCUUCAUUAAUGUGUAAUGAACUACUUUUUCAGUCAAAUUUGUUGUAUAACAUGAUGUUUUGGUGCAUAAUUUGUAAAAUCAUAACCUACGUAUUUUGAUGUUUCAUAGGCUUUUUCUUAAUCUCUCCUUAUUAUCCAACAUAUUCGCUUAUCCAACGUUCUGCUGGCCCGUUUAUGUUGGAUAAGUGAGACUCUACUGUAUAUGAGUCCACAGAGCACAGUGGGUUUAACUGCUGAGCUGCUAAAAUUGCUGACCAAAAAGCUGGCAGUUCGAAUCCGUGGAAGCCGGUGAGCUCCCGCUGCUAGCACCAGCUUCUGCCAACCUAGCAGUUUGAAAACAUGCAAAUGUGAGUAGAUCAAUAGGUACCGCUCCUAUUGGCGGGAAGGUAACAGCGCUCCAUGCAGUCAUGCCAGCCACAUGACCUUGGAGGUGUCUACGGACAAUGCCGGCUCUUUGGAGAUGAUCACCAACCACUAAUGCCUUGAAAGAUCUCUCCAGCUACUACAAAGAGAACCACCUGAAGCCUAACUCUCCCAAGACACAAGUGUGUGCUUUCCACCUACGUAACUGUGAAGCCAACAGGAAACUGAAAGUUACUUGGGAAAGCCAAGAGCUCGAACACUGUUUCCAUCCUAAAUACCUUGGUGUCACCUUAGAUCGAACACUAACAGAUAGGAAACACUGCAUGAACACCAAGCACAAAGUAGCUGCAUGCAACAACAUCCUGUGGAAACUUACUGGCAGCGCAUGGGGUGCAGACCCACAAGUAAUAAGAACAUCAGCCCUGGCCUUGUCUUUCUCAACUGCUGAGUAUGCCUGCCCUGUCUGGCACAAGUCUGCCCAUGCGAAGCAGGUGGACAUAGCACUGAACGAAACAUGCAGAAUAAUCAGAGGAUGCCUUAAACCUACACCUGUUGAUAAACUCUGCAAGGUAGCUGGCAUUGCCCCUCCUGACGUGCGACGGGAAGUUGCUGCUAACGGUGAGGGAAAUAAGGUCGAACUUUGUGAAAGCCACCCACUGCAUGACUAUCAGCCUCCUCCCACCAGGUUCAAAUCAAGGAAGGGCUUCAUGAGAACUACCACUCCUCUUGAUGUUCUUCUAGCAACAGCAAGGGUGUCCCUCUGGGCAGCUAAACCAGGCAAUCCCAACUGGAUGGCCCCCCAUGAGGGUCUUCCUCCAGGGGCAAACCAAGAAUGGGCAACUUGGAAGUCCCUGAACAGACUGAGAAGCGGAGUGGGCAGAUCAAAAGACAACUUGGCAAGGUGGCACUACCUGGAGGUGACCUUGUGUGACUGUGGAGCAGAACAAACAACUCCGCAUAUGUAUGCUUGCCCACCAUGCCCUGCCUCAUGCACAGAGGAGGAGUUGUUCAAAGCCAUGGACAAUGUGGUCGCUGUUGCCCACUUUUGGUCUAAAACUAUUUAGCUGCUUGUGAUUUCCUUUAUUUUAUCACUUUUAAACUUAUUUACUAUGCAAUGCUUUUGACACGAAAUAAAUAAAUAAAGCACCAACCAGCAUGAAGUCAGCACAACUAGACUUAAUGUCAGGGUGAAACCUUUCCCCUGAUGUUAAGUCCAGUCAUGUCUGACUCUGGGGGUUGGUGCUCAUCUCCAUUUCUAAGCCGAAGAGCCAGCGUUGUCUGUAGACACCUCCAAGGUCAUGUGGCUGGCAUGACUGCAUGGAGCGCCUUUACCUAUAUGAGUCUGAUAAUCUCGGAUAAACAGAAAACCUGGGAUCAGACCCUGGAUAUAGGGCCUGUCUGGAAAGGGCCUAAAAGUGCGUUUUCUAUAAUAAUGCUACAUCCUAAACCAGUGGUUUUCAACCUGUGGGUUCUUAUCAGUUCAUCAGUAAAUUGACUGAAAUCAACAAAAAUUAAUGCUAAAAUAAAUAUUAAAGGUACCACUUGAUUCCUUCCUUACUUUCUUACUUUAUACAUGGUCAUUUUGUUUGAGCUUGACCUUGUAAAAAUGGUACCUAAGCAUAGGAUAUGGAGCAUAGGGAAAAACUAUUGGGAACAAAUCCAUUUCCAGUAUUCCUAGGAUACUGCAGUAGAUAAAGAUACAAUGAUAACAAUUGUAAACCUGUUGCAUGGUGAAUGGUGCAAACAGUAUAAUAUUUGAAGGUGUAGAUUUGGCACUAACCUGAUCAAUUUGUACACUUCCAGAGUCUGUGGUGUACAAUUUUAAAGAAUUUGCAUGUUGUCAAAAGUGCUGCAAAGGUUGCAAUCUGAGGCUUCAUCAUCAGACAAACAGAGGAAUUAUUGCUAGUGGGUAGGAACCUGGGGUAGUGGAGAAGUACUGUAUGAUUCUGCACCAGCUGAAGAGCAGGGAAGAAAAAUCUAUAUACUGAUAUAUAUAUUUGGAUCUGAAAUAUAGUCACUGACUAUGCAAAGGUUUCACUGCAAAGGCAAUGGGAAAGUAGGGGCUUGGGAGACUGGGACUCAGAACAUGUACUGCAUCACCAUCAUUUUCUUUUUCACUUCCUCAUGCUUCCUCUUCAGCCAGGUUUAGGGACAACACUCUUCAUCCGUUGCCUUUUUGCUCAUGAUUCUACCUGUCUCUUUUCGUUAUUUGCAGAUCAUUCAUGGCUAUCGGACCCACUCCCCAUGCAUGUCAACGGGGAGAUCUACCCUACGAGCUGUAAUCAAGACACUUAUUAUUGCUCCUCUUUGGAGUCACUAAUCAGCAAAAAAGGAACCUACCUGGGGGAUAGAUUGACAGGGUUCAUUCUUUCCUGAUGCUGUUCAAUAAAAACAAUCACUUCUUUCUGUUGUCGAAACCCCAGGACCUCAGAAGACCGCAAAAGCCAUAGCCAAAGAAGAUGCCAGCAAGGCAAAGCCUAAAGUGACCCAGAAGGAUACCGUGGUCUACAGUAUCGAAGGCUGCUGAGAGAUCCAGGAGAACCAACAGGGACACACUCCCCCUGUCGAGCUCUCUGCGGAGAUCAUCCACCAAGGAGACCAAGGCCAUCUCAGUUCCAUGCCCUUGAUGGGACAAAUAGUGGCCAUUUCAAACUGAUAUCCAAAAUCAAGGGAGCAAGAUGUGGCACUGUUCCGCUGUUUCACCACAUAGCAAAGGCCCCUCUUUGGAUUGGUGCAAUGAACCUCUUCCUGUCUUUUUGUGGGAGCCAAAGGCAUCAGCAGCUGGUUGGAGACACAGGGCCGGAAGGGCAGGCCCCAUUAAGGAGGAUGCUGCUUCGGAAACAUUGUGCUUCCUUCCCUGCCCUUUGCCGUAUGAUCUCAGGGUGGCAAACCAGGAAAAACCAAGAGGUGAAAGCCAUUGAAAAGAAUCAGGUAAAGGUAAAGGUUUUCCGCUGA